AUUGUUCCUUUCUGUAUUGUGCUGAGAGGAUCCAAGGGAUUGGUGGGGGAACAGGCAAGCCAGGCAUCACCGUGGAUGUUGAAGAAGGGGGUUACUCAAACCUCGGCAUCUUCACUUGCUCGAUCUGGAAUUACAGCUAUUUAUUACGAAGCACUCUGUGUGGCUUAGUGGAGUGUGUCUGAGGAAACACAUCCCAGACACCACUUAGGGUUAGUCUUUCUGAGCUCUUCACAUCUCUGACUAAUUAUCAUCAUUACCAUGGAGCCCAACAGUCCCAAAAAGAUACAGUUUGCCGUGCCUGUAUUCCAGAGUCAGAUUGCACCUGAAGCAGCAGAGCAGAUCAGGAAAAGAAGACCUACACCAGCAUCACUUGUGAUUCUCAAUGAGCAUAACCCCCCAGAAAUAGAUGACAAGAGGGUGCCCAACACACAAGGGGAAUUACAGAAUGCAUCCCCUAAGCAAAGGAAGCAGAGUGUGUACACGCCACCCACCAUAAAAGGGGUUAAGCAUCUGAAAGGCCAGAAUGAAUCAGCGUUCCCUGAAGAAGAAGAAGGCACCAGUGAAAGAGAGGAGCAGCGGGACCAUUAAUUACUGGUCUGCAGCAAGAAGCCUUCUUGGAAAUAACUGAACUAUUAACUUUUCUGAGUAUACCAUGGAAUUCCACUGCUUGACUUCCAGAAGCAUCCUCCAUCUCUGCACCCCACACUCAUACAGUAGCUAUGCACAUCCUGGAAGUCUCCUUGACUGAACUUUAGAACUAAGUGCAAAAUGAGUUGAUAACAACCAGAAGUUGACUUGUUAGUGCUGUGCUUCUACUUGAGCUUGGAAAAAUCCCAACACAAAACAAACACCACCUCCAAUUCCAUCAUGAUGCCACGUUGCUUUCUACUGGAUUACCUCCUGAAGCACUUUAGAUAUUUUAUACAUAAGUAUUGACAUGUUUUUCAGAAGCUGUUUCUUCACUUAUUGCUUUUUUCUAAUAAUUUUUAUUACACCAUUUGCCAAGUCCUUCCCUUUGGUUUUAGUUUAUUCCUCUCUACAACUAAAAAAGGGAUCUUGAGUUUAGGUACAUUUUAAGUGAUUCAUUUUUAGUUUUUCUAAUUCUGGAAUCUGAGCCUUCUCUUGCAACAGGGAGUCUUUCAAACACAUUUUUUUGUUUCUUUUUCAAAUUCCACUGUGUUUAUUUAUUGCCUUGUUUCUUUUUCAAAUUCCAUUGGUCUUGAUUUAAUUUAGUUCCACAGAUUUUACUGAUAGUCUACUACCUGCCAACUACUGAAUUAUGCAGCAGACUUAUAAAAAUAAAAAGGCUAUUUUAUUGUUAUUGCCAUCCUGCUAGUAAAGAUUUAUUCAAUUAUUUAUAAUUAAUUAAGUGGCUUCACCUAUAUUUCUGUUAAUAAUCACAUUAAUUAUGUAUGACAGGUAGGAUAUAUGUUAUACAUAAGAAAACUAGAGUCCAAAGAAAAUAAGUGUCCCCAAAUGAACCAAUAAUCCAACAAACGCUUCCACUAACUAGCUUCUGACCUGUUUGAGUUGUGAUAGAUUUUAGAAUAAAAAAGCCCAUCCUCCUUAGGAGCCAUAGACUUUUAUUCUUUCUUAUACUGUCUUAUAUAUUGACUUAGAGCUAAACUUCCUCCAAUUCAGACAUAAAGCAUAGGCAGAUACUUUUGCUAAUGAGGCUAAGCUGGGAAGAAAACCCUGAGUUCUACUUUAAUUCUUGGGCAUUGACUUCAAACUAAGAUGACUUAUAAGAAAUAAAAGAAGUAAAUUUGAAACUUUAAUUAAAAAAGUACAUGGUUCAUUUAAAAAUGUUUCCUAUGUCUAAAUCUAUAUUUUAAAAAUAACCUUUAUCAUGUAAAAUGAGAGAAUUGCUGAGUUUAUGACAAUCUUAGGUAUAACCUUUUCUUAAAGAACAAGGCAUCAAUCUUUAAUUUGUUUCCCUUUCUUGAUUUCUCGUAAGUUGCAAAAUAAAAAUAAAAAUAAUUUCACAAAUUGUUCAUUAUUAUUAUCCUCCCUACUUGCCCCAGGAUUUAAGUACUAACUUUUACUUCCUACUCUUAGACUUUGUAUUGCCAAAGAAAUAAAAUAUGAAAAAGCGUAAUCACCCAGACCUACCUGCGGAAUUGUGGAUUAUGCUGUAGAUAUUAGAUCAUUGAAAGGAACAAUAUACUACUUAAUGAGGAGCCAAAGACAACAUUCUACCUGCUGCUCCCUUCAAGCUGAGGAAUGAGUUUAAUUGACUUCAAAGUCCCAUUAUUCUCAAAAGUAGCAAAGGUACAACAUGGCUUUGCAUGAAUCAAAGGAAGGGGACAACAAGAACUUAAAAAAAUAGUUUGCAGAUGGUUGAACAUCUCUUUAAUAAUUAGAGAAGAAUAUCUUUUCUUUCUUUAUUGUUUACAGAUACCAACAUUUUUCAAAGCCUUGCAGUAGAUGAGUGAGUCUCCUGUUACGUUUCUCCUGCAGCAUAUAUUCUGUGGAUGUGUUUUCCUAAGCAGACUAAUUAUAUGUUGCUCUCUUCUUUUACCCUAAUGAAACAUAGAUUUUUCUGUUUUGAAUUUGUCACUUGUUUGUUACAUUUGUCAAGUGUUUUAAAUAUUACAUUGGUCCUUUAUUUGCUUUUGAGAACACCCAAUAGUUUAAAAAUUAAAAUGACAUGAAGGUCAAUUCUAAGACAGGAAUGAUACUACUAAAUCCUGGACUUGCCUAUGAUAACAAGCUCGAGCUACACACUUUUAUUGUCAGAAUAAAUGGAAUAUAUAGGAAGGAGUUAAUUGGAACUGGUUAGUACCUAAAUAAGAUUUUUCAAAGUAAGUUUUUUGUCGUAUUGGCAGAACAGUGUUAAAAAAUAGACAUUGUCAUCAUAAACACCCACAACUAUAUCUGUAAAAGAUAAUUUAAUGCAAUAUUCUGGGGAAAAUACAGUUGCCAAAAUUAA